UUCAUUUAACAGGUCUAUAUUGUUGCACCUAUACACGCCCUGGGCUGAAUUACUGUGAGGAAUAUCAACAUGCAUAAUAAAAGGUCCCUCUGCUCAGAGAGCACAACAGCACCCAGGGAGAAGGACCCUAAAACCACACAUGAGCCUCUCUACCGUCUCUCAACCAGAAAAAGUUUAUGGAAAUCUUUUCCUCAUCUCUUAUGCAACUUAACAGUCACAUAUUUCUAAACUUCAUAACUCAGGCUUUUAGUACUACAGUUAAAAUCAAUUAUAAGUUAAUUGGCAUUUGCGGGCUAGUCAGGAGUCAAACUGCCAUUUAUUAUUUGGUUUUCAUGGAUAACUGACUUCCCAAUGAAUUUUUUGUAUAAAACCUAUCUCUAAGUUGAAUACUCCUUGUUGCAUUUUUUUUUUUUUUUUGGUGGCAGGGCUUGCUAUAUUACAGCAGGAGUCAGUGGACUGUUUUUCUAAAGGGCCAGAUAGUAAAGAUUUUUACUAUCUUUACUACCACAUACACUAGAUGUGUAUGUGGGCCAUACACAUCUCUGUUGCAACUAUUUGACUAUGCUAUGGUAGAGUGAAAACAGCUAUAGGCAAUACAUACACAAUUUGUUCCAAAAAUUUUAUUUAUGGACACUGAAAUUUGAAUUUUAUAUAAAAUAAUAUGUAAUACAGUAUAUAUCAUAAAAUACUGUUUUUCUGUUGAUUCUUUUUAACUAUUUAAAAAUGGACAAACCAUUUUCAGCCUGCAGGCCACACAAAAGCAGGCAGUGGCUGGAUUUGGCCUGAGAGCCAUAGAUUGCUGUCCCCUGUAUUGGAGCAACAACAUUUUUUCCCUCAAGGCAUGUACAGUAAUGUUUACGUGCAACUGAAUUGACAAAAUAAGCAUUAGAUUGCAAGCAAACUUCUUAAACUCUGAAAUUAUUUCAUUUUUUAGAACAGACCCUAAGUUUUCAAAAAAAAAAAGUCAGAUGUAUUUUAAGUUCCAAAACUUCAUUGAAUGUGUACAUAAAUGCAUGAUCUAAAUAAUAUAAUAGACUAUGUUGUAGAACUUUAAAACACCUUAAGACCCCUUUAUACUUUUGCUGUAGGAGGGCAUAGAUUUUGAAAAAAAACCAAAGGGCCUUCUUCCUACUUUAUGAUGGUGAGUGUAAACACACAGUCAUUAUCAGGAAACACAGGUUUUAGGUCAUCUGUCUCUUGGUUGCUAUGUGGAAAUUUGCUGUCCAUCGUCAAAUUGGAUAAUCCAGGUUUGAUUCUGUGAAGGGAGCUGCCUGGUUUCCUUACAUGUGAGUCAAGAACUGUGCAAAGCCUUUACCAUCCAUCUCAUUCAAUCUUCCUAAUAAUGUUAGGAGUUAGGACAUGGAGAGAAAAAGAGAUUUCUCAGGCUCACUCUGCUGGUGAGUACCAGGUGAAGGCUUUGGCUCUUAGACUUGAUUCCGUCCUGCAUCUGGAUACCUGUGGCAAAGCUCUUUACUUUAGACAUGGAGACUUUGAAUACCCACAAUGAGAAAAAAAAAGAGAAAUAGACAUGGAGACAUUAAAAUCAUCAUUUUGGAAUAAAUAAUGAGUCUGCUGCACACCAGACCUAGAAUUUUCAAUUUACCUAACUUUAUCAGAGUUAUAUUUUUUAUUAGGUUACAUCUUCAAAGCAUUGAUUUGCUCCAGUCAGCAAUUAUUUUACAUGGUAGAACUGAAUUGGCUUCCAGCUAUUUGGUUUUACAUUUUUUAUUACCUAAAUAUUGAUGGUACCCCUAAACCUAUUACCUUCACAGCAUUCUUAAAGGUGUGGAUAGUAAAACUAGAAAAUUAAAUGUCUUAAACUAUUUCAGGGACCAGUGUAGAAACUAUAUUGAAACCUAGGUUGAAUAGUAUUCAUACCUACAGCGGUUUAUUAUGGUCCAAUAAAUGUAGUAUCUAUGUGAUAUUGUACUUAAAGGAUUAAAAAGUAAUUAAGUGUUUUCAAUAAACAAAGUGUCAGAAAGCAUCACUAACUAGUUGAUUGUGCUUACUAAAGGACUUUUCUUCUAAUUAUAGUUGAAAAUAUACUAAUGUUAAUUAUACACAUCAUUCAAAAGAAUAUUCAGUGAGAAUUAUAGCAGAAAAAAGUUGCCAAUUUAUCCCAAAGUGGGUAAGAUACCUCCUCAGCAGCAGGACUAUAAUUUCAAUCAUAGAAACUAGAUAAAAAAACAGUAAAAUCGAAUCACUCAUAUAUGCAACUUAAUCCAUUUCCAUUGGAUCUCAGGAAUGAACUGAUAUGAAUUGUGAAGCUUUUUACAUCGAAGGUUCAAACAUUUUGAAGCUAGACAUUUUGAAAGUAGCGAGAUGAAUGUUAUAGUAUGAAAUCAUUCAAAAUUGGCAGUUUCUAUGAGGUUCCAAAACUUUAUCAGGACAUGCUCACAUUUUUUCAUUAAUUUCAGGUCAAAAUUUAUCUGCAAUCAGUAAAUAAAGGCUUACAGAAAUGUAGUUCCAUUGCCAAAUGCCUUAGCUUCGAAUGUGAUUUUCUUCCAAUGUGAUUUCUUUUAGAUACAACAUAAUUUCUUUCUGAUCCUGAGCAUAUGGGCCUAUGCUAAUAUGAAAUGGUGUCUUAGAAAGAUUAUUUUUGUUUUCUGCAGAGAGCAGUCAUCCUUUGACCUAUAUUCAAUAUGCGACACAGAUCUGAUUGUGCAACCACCAUUAGCCUCAUCCAAAUCCCCUAGUUGGAGGUUGGGGCUUAGGUCAGGGACCAUUACUCUUGGGUGUCAGAGCUAAACUUAAUUAAUGCCUUUUAAAAAUAUAUGGAUGAUAUUUUAUUCCCCUUAGGAUGUAGAAAAAUGGCCUGCAGAAUUUAAUUCUGAAAAACGUUAAAAACAAGAGUGAUUGAGUUGUUUGACAUGCCUUGUGACCUCUUUCUGAAGUCAGAAGCUUUGCCCAGUGUGUCUGGUUUUUUCCCAGACUGCUGCCUGUUUUUUUUUUUUUUUUUUAAGGCACAGAUUCCUUUCCGUGCACCUUUCUGGUCAUCAAGGCCCCCUCUGGUAAAUCAUUGCCGUUUCAACACAGGCCCUCCCCAGUUGUGACGUUCCAGAGCUCAUGAAUGCCACAGGGGUAGGGAGUUACAAAGUAGAAGCCUCGGACUCACAAUUAUGAGGAACAAUGGCUGUUUCUAUGGUGCCAAUGGGCAGAGGAGGGAAUUCUUCUUGGGAGCUGGUGCUGAAAUGUUUAGCAAUCAUUUUUCAGUGAGAAUUGGCAGGUGCCUGCCAGGAGGGGGGAUGUUAUGUCAGCACAGGUGUCAGAGAACGCGAGAGGUUUCUGAAGGAGACAAAAAUAUGGAAGGGUGUAGCUCCAAUUGCCACCAGCAACCAUCUUCGACUCUGAGGCAAAUCACCAGAACUGAGCACAGGGGCCCUCGGUAAACAUUACAGAAUGAAUAAAGUAAUUAAUGAUGAAUCUGAACCUUUCAAACACCCUUGCGAGGUUUCCCUUGGGACCAACAGUAAUAGCAUUUGCUAUGAAUGCAAAAGUUAUGGCUGAGCAGGCACUUUUUGUAUCUGGAGGUUUGGGACCACCUCCUCUUGGGUACAUUAACUCGUAAGUGACUCCACUUCAUUCUGUUGUCUUAAUUAGGACCUGCCUGACAAUCAUUAAAAAAUCAGGAAACAACAGGUGCUGGAGAGGAUGUGGAGAAAUAGGAACACUUUUACACUGUU